rnacentral:rRNA from 1 species
GCCUUUUUAACAAAAACAUCGCCUUUUGGGGGGAAUAAAAGGUCUGGCCUGCCCACUGUAAAUAAAGGGCCGCAGUAUUUUGACUGUGCAAAGGUAGCAUAAUCAUUAGUCUUUUAAUUGAAGGCUGGUAUGAAUGGUUGGAUGAGGUAAUGGCUGUCUCUUACAGAUUAAAUAGAAUUUAGCCUCUUAGUCAAAAGGCUAAGAUAGGAUUAGAGGACGAGAAGACCCUAUAGAUCUUCAUGGAACUAUAUGAUACUUUUAGAUGAGUCAGGGUUUUAUAAAAUUUCUAUUUGGUUGGGGUGACAAGGAAAUACAAUAACUUUCUUUAAAUUAACACAUUGAUUAGUGAAUAGGAGAUCCAUAAUUUAUGAUUAAAAGAGUAAGUUACCUUAGGGAUAACAGCAUAAUCUUCUUAGAGAGUUCUAAUCGGUAAGGAGGGUUGUGACCUCGAUGUUGGACUAAGAUUUAGCCUAGGUGUAGCAGUUUAGGAUAAUGGUCUGUUCGACCAGUAGUAUUUUACAUGAUCUGAGUUCAAACCGGAGCUCC